rnacentral:rRNA from 1 species
AGAGUUUGAUCCUGGCUCAGAAUCAACGCUGGCGGCGCGCUUAACACAUGCAAGUCGCACGAGAAAGCAGGAGCAAUCUUGUGAGUACAGUGGCGUACGGGUGAGCAACACGUGGAUCAUCUACCUCUUGGUGGGGAAUACUCCUGGGAAACCGGGAAUAAUACCGCAUAAGCUCGUGAGAGGAAAGCCGAAAGGCGCCGAGAGAGGAGUCCGCGGCUGAUUAGCUAGAUGGCGGGGUAACGGCCCACCAUGGCGAAGAUCGGUAGCCGGCCUGAGAGGGCACACGGCCACACUGGCACUGAAACACGGGCCAGACUCCUACGGGAGGCAGCAGUGGGGAAUCUUGCACAAUGGGGGAAACCCUGAUGCAGCGACGCCGCGUGAGCGAUGAAGCCCUUCGGGGUGUAAAGCUCUUUCGACGGGAACGAUAAUGACGGUACCCGAAGAAGAAGCUGCGGCUAACUACGUGCCAGCAGCCGCGGUAAUACGUAGGCAGCGAGCGUUGUUCGGAAUUACUGGGCGUAAAGAGUGUGUAGGCGGUGCUCUAAGUCUGGUGUGAAAUCUCCCGGCUCAACUGGGAGGGUGCGCUAGAAACUGGAGUGCUCGAGUAUGGGAGAGGAAAGCGGAAUUCCUGGUGUAGCGGUGAAAUGCGUAGAUAUCAGGAGGAACACCUGCGGUGUAGACAGCUUUCUGGACCAUGACUGACGCUGAGACACGAAAGCGUGGGUAGCAAACAGGAUUAGAUACCCUAGUAGUCC